AUUGAACGCUGGCGGCAGGCCUAACACAUGCAAGUCGAGCGGGGUUUUCGGACCUAGCGGCGGACGGGUGAGUAAUGCGUAGGAAGCUACCCGAUAGAGGGGGAUACCAGUUGGAAACGACUGUUAAUACCGCAUAAUGUCUACGGACCAAAGUGCGGGACCUUCGGGCCACAUGCUAUCGGAUGCGCCUACGUGGGAUUAGCUAGUUGGUGGGGUAAUGGCUCACCAAGGCGACGAUCCCUAGCUGGUUUGAGAGGAUGAUCAGCCACACUGGAACGGAGACACGGUCCAGACUCCGACGGGAGGCAGCAGUGGGGAAUAUUGGACAAUGGGCGCAAGCCUGAUCCAGCCAUGCCGCGUGUGUGAAGAAGGCCUUCGGGUUGUAAAGCACUUUCAGUAGGGAGGAAGGGUGUUGUGUUAAUAGCACAGCAUUUUGACGUUACCUACAGAAGAAGCACCGGCUAACUCUGUGCCAGCAGCCGCCGUAACAC
rnacentral:rRNA from 1 species